AUUGAAUUCAGAGCCUCACAAUUGCUGUGUUCUACUUCGCCUAGCAACCAGAGAUGAUCCCUGCAACAUGCUGCUGUUGCUGGGAGUGGGAAAGAGGUGGCAUCGGCGGUUCAAGACUGAGUUUUCUAUCUCUUCAGUGCCUCUUUCAACAAUGAAGAUCAAACCAGGUUUUGUGCAAAUAUCUGCUGAGUGAACUACUUAUUUGAAAAUACAUCAUUGGUUAAUAUUCCCUUUUGCUCAUUGAAAUCUCAAAGACUACAGACCCCGCACAAGACAUUCUGACAUUCCCGUCUUUGAAAUGAAUGACAGCAAUGAUAAAUAUGGCUCACCUCCAGAGAUACAGAUCUCACAACUUCAUAUUUUUAAUAUAAAUUAUUAAUCUGAGGUGUGGUGCAAUUCCAUUAGAUGAAAGAGAUCUACACAUUCAGAAGCACAUGAUUCUUCCCCCUUCCAUGAUUCCAGUGGCCAAUAGAAUGGAGUGUAGUGGCGUGAUCUUGGCUCACAACAACUUCUGCUUCCCACAUUCAAGCGAUCCUCCCACCUUAUACUCCUGAGUAGCUGGAACCACAGACAAACUACAAUAAAGCCAUGCCCUGACUGGAUGUGCCUAACAUUUGUCUGGUGCUUAAAGGAGUUGGCUGCAUGCGUGGAAAUGUUGGAAAGUCACCAAAAAUAGUUCUCCAAGUCAGAAGCGGUGCAAAAGCUGCCUCAGCUCUUGGUGGAUUUUCAAUUUCUCCCAGCCAUCUCUGUUUCGCUAAAGGUUUCUGAAGACAGUGGAAUGCUGUUGAAGACACCACCUUGAUAAAACAAAAACAUCAGCCAAAUUAAAUUUAAAGGAGUUUAAUUGAGCAAAGAAUUAUUCAUGAAUCAAGCAGUCUUCCAAGCCAGAGUAGGCUCAAAUACUCCAGCACAGCCACGUGGUGGAAGAUUUAUGGACAAAAGAAGAAAAGUAACAUAUAGAAAAUGGAAAUGAGGGGAAGCUUUUUUCUCCUCCCCAUCCUGAUCACUAGUAUGAGAAGGGGUGCUAAUGGACCAGCCUUGGCCUUGCAGAUGAAGAUGAUGAAGGAAGAAGAUGUAUAAAGAACCUCUGAAAGAGUCCCAGUUUUACAUUUCAAAGUCUUUUUCCUUCUGUUGUUUAUUGUGUUGGGUUGGAGUGGAGGAUAUUUGAUGGAGAAUUGAUUCUGAAACUUGCCAAAAUAUGGAUAAUACUUUGCUCCUUUUCCAUUGUGGGUUAUCACAAAGAAGAGUUUCACUUUUAGUCAUCUAUUUACAGGUACGGCAAUAGCUAUUUUCUUUUUCUUUUUUUUAUUUUAGGUUUUAUUUUAGGUACAUGUGAAGGUUUCUUGUAUAGGUAAACUAGUGUCAUGUGGGAUUGUUGCACAGAUUAUUUUAUCAACCAGGUAUUAAGGAAGCUCAGUACCCAAUAGUUAUAUUUUCUGCUCCUCUCCCUCAUCCCACUCUCCACCCUGAGGUCGACCCCAGUGUCUGUUGUUUCCUUCUUUCUGUUAAUGAGUUCUCAUCAUUUAGCUCCCACUUAUAAGUGAGAACAUGUGCUAUGUGUUUUUCUGUUCCUGUGUUAGUUGGCUAAGGAUAAUGGCCUCCAGCUCCAUUUUUGUUUCCCUCUCCAGCAUCUGUUUUUUUUUUUAAUUUUUAGUAAUAUCCAUUCUGACUGGUAUGAGAUGGUAUCUCAUUGUGGUUCUGACUUGCAUUUCUGUAAUGGUCAAUGAUGUUCAGCUUUUCUUUUCAUGUGCUUGUUGCCCACAUGUAUGUUUUGUUUUGAAAAGUGUUUGUUCGUGUCCUUUAUCCACUUUUCAAUGGGGUUGUUUGCUUUUCUCUCGUAAAUUUGUUUAAUUUCCUUAUAGAUGUUAUGACCUAGCAGCUGUACCUUUUUUAAUUUCAAGACAUUCAAUAAACUAAGAACCAACAGCACAGUUGAUGUGUCUUUCCAUGACACCUGCCAUCUUUCCUCUCUUCAUAGCUAUAAGAAUAUUUUGGAAGAAGAGUUGCUGAUAAAUGCCACUUAGGGAAUCUCUGAGCAUCUGUUAUUAUAAAUGGUUGACUAAAAUUUAGGGUAAAGCAUCCUAUUAAAAAUGAAGUUAAGGACUUUAUGUAGAACUUUAAAAUUUGUCCCCCAAAUCCUGUUGUAUGUCAACAUAUUAUAAAAUAAAUUGUAAAUAUCAUAACUCAGCAAAAGAACAUCAUCUAAAACUCAUUAAGAAUUUAAUGUUGAGUAUAUCAGUGACACAAAAUCAUGAGGCAAGAUGGUUUAAAUAUGUUACAAAUAAUAAUAAAUAAUCAUACCCUCUGAGUUUAAAUUCUUUAUCACCCUGUAUGUACUGCCACUCAACACUUGACUUCAGGGCCAUAAUCCUUAGUGAACCCAUCUAACAUCCACCUAAAAUAAAGGUUUGGAGCCACUCUUCUAUGCUUAACAAAUAGCCUUAAGCAUCAUGAAUAAACAGAGACAGGCUAGCUCCUUUUUGCUCUAUAGCCUUAAGUAGUUCUGACCAUGACUAGAAAGACAUAGCUGCAAGCAGCCUGAUCUUUUUUUAACAUCUUGACUUUUUGCAAGGUAUUUCUAAAAUAUGUUACUAAUAUGUACUUCUUGGUUGUUUUACUAAUAUUUGAAAGAACUAAAGUUAUCAUUAGUCACGUUUCAUUUGAAACUACAGAAGCAAUAAAAACAACAAAGUUCCAAUAUAAAAUCCAUUAUUAAAUAGCUUUCAACAUAAUAGAUUAUUUACUACAAAAUAGCAA
rnacentral:lncRNA from 1 species